rnacentral:lncRNA from 1 species
UUUUUUUUCUCACUUAAAAUUCUUUAAUAAUAUUUCAGUUAAGUUACUACUACAAGUAGUUUGAAUUGUUUUUUACAGAGGCCAGCACCUACUUGUGCAGUAAGAAAGCAUUAGUGCACACUCUCAGUAAGUCCCUUCAGUUGGGACAGAACAUGAGGAAGGGGGAAUGGAAGAAAAAAUUAUUUUAACCACUGAAAACAAAUGUCUCUUUGACCUAUAAUGGGACACCGGAUUGGCACUUGAUGUGUCUAGUCUAAUUUUUUCUCUGUGAAACUGUACUGGCAGAUCUUAGGGAGAGACAGAAGGCAGUAAAUUCCUAUCCUCCAUCAAUACAUUUGACCUCAGAACAAACCCCACAACUGGCUACAGGCACCCACCAUCCAUCAUUGCUCUUGAAACCUGAUCUUUCAGGGAAGGACAGCUGCACUGGGCAAAGAGCUAAGGAGCUUUCUAAGAUGCACUACCAUUGAAGAAAAAAAAAAAAAAGGCAAUUCUUUUGGUUCAGUGUUGUAAUUAAACGCUUUUCUAAACAUUUCUUCCCCCAGACUACAGCUCCACGUCAAAUAUCAUUAAGACUCCAUUAAUAUAUUUUUUAUUUUCAAGUAAAAUGCUCUCUUUGCAUAUUUUAGGUAAAAUCAUUGCUAGUUUUUGCUUUAAAUGCUUUCUGUCCCAUGACAUACUGAUGUAUACAGAUUUCAAUAAACAUGCUGAAAAGAAUUAUUGAAAAGAAACUGUAGUUCCAGCAUCUGUAGUAAUCACAGCAUUGCACAAGAGAGUGCAAAUUGAAUAACAGACACAAAACAUCCAUGUCCAACACACCUAAUUUUUAGGUCAGUUAGCAAUAAUUUAUAGCAGAUAGCUAAAAAUAGCAGAAUCCUAUCACAGAAACUAGUAUUAAUGAAUAUAACAUGUUUCUUACAUAACUCUUAUAACCAGGAUUUAUUUUAAAUGAAAAAUAAGACAAAUUCUUCUUAUCUAAUCGGGACUUCAUUACAUCUAUGGCUAUUUUCUCCACUUUGCAGAUCGUGAAACUGAGACACUGAAAUGUUACGUAACUUCCCCCAAGAUUCCACAGGUAGUAAGUGACAAGACGAAUGUAUAAAUUCUGUUCUUCUUGCAUCAAAUU